rnacentral:lncRNA from 1 species
AUGUCUGGACGCGGCAAAGGCGGCAAAGGUCUGGGAAAGGCGACGCUAAGCGCCACUGCAAGGUUCUGGGCGACAACAUCCAGAGCAUCACUAAACCUGCUAUCCGCCGCCUGGCUCGUCGUGGUGGUGUGAAGCGCAUCUCCGGGCUCGUCUACGAAGAGACCCGCGGGGUCCUGAAAGUGUUUCUGGAGAACGUGAUCCGGGACGCGGUCACCUACACCGAGCAUGCCAAGUGGAAGACAGUCACCGCUACGGACGUGGUCUACGCUCUCAAGCGCCAGGGCCGUACUCUCUACGGUUUUGGCAGUUAA